UGGGGAAUUUUGCACAAUGGGGGAAACCCUGAUGCAGCGACGCCGCGUGAUUUAGAAGGCCUUCGGGUUGUAAAAAUCUUUUGUAUGGGAAGAAAAUGACAGUACCAUACGAAUAAGGACCGGCUAAUUACGUGCCAGCAGCCGCGGUAAUACGUAAGGUCCGAGCGUUGUCCGGAAUCAUUGGGCGUAAAGGGUACGUAGGCGGUCUAUUAAGUCAGGUGUGAAAGCGUGAGGCUUAACCUCAUUAAGCACUUGAAACUGAUAGACUUGAGUGAAGGAGAGGAAAGUGGAAUUCCUAGUGUAGCGGUGAAAUGCGUAGAUAUUAGGAGGAAUACCGGUGGCGAAGGCGACUUUCUGGACUUUUACUGACGCUCAGGUACGAAAGCGUGGGGAGCAAACAGG
rnacentral:rRNA from 1 species